GGCAGUUUAGCUUAAUGGUAAAGCACUUGACACGUAAUCACAGGUAUGUGAGUUUGAGUCUCAUGGCUGGCCA
rnacentral:tRNA from 1 species